GAUGAACGCUGGCGGCGUGCCUAAUACAUGCAAGUCGAGCGAAUGGAUUAAGAGCUUGCUCUUAUGAAGUUAGCGGCGGACGGGUGAGUAACACGUGGGUAACCUGCCCAUAAGACUGGGAUAACUCCGGGAAACCGGGGCUAAUACCGGAUAACAUUUUGAACCGCAUGGUUCGAAAUUGAAAGGCGGCUUCGGCUGUCACUUAUGGAUGGACCCGCGUCGCAUUAGCUAGUUGGUGAGGUAACGGCUCAACAAGGCAACGAUGCGUAGCCGACCUGGGAGGGUGAUCGGCCACACUGGGACUGAGACACGGCCCAGGUUCCUACGGGAGGAAGCAGUAGGGAAUCUUCCGCAAUGGACGACAGUCUGACGGAGCAACGCCGCGUGAGUGAUGAAGGCUUUCGGGUCGUAAAACUCUGUUGUUAGGGAAGAACAAGUGCUAGUUGAAUAAGCUGACACCUUGACGGUACCUAACCAGAAAGCCACGGCUAACUACGUGCCAGCCGCCGCGGUAA
rnacentral:rRNA from 1 species